rnacentral:antisense_RNA from 1 species
CGUUAUGGCGGCUGUGCGCAGGGCACCUUCGGGUGCGCCGGGUUUCCAAUGUGACCGGUCUGCUAACCUGCGUUCAGCUGCCACCCAU